GUCUCUAUAGCUCAAAGGUAGAGCUUGAUACUGUUAAUAUCAUGAUAGAUGUUCGAUUCAUCUUAGGGGCG
rnacentral:tRNA from 1 species